rnacentral:rRNA from 1 species
UCCGGAGGGGGCGAGCGUUAUUCGGAAUUAUUGGGCGUAAAGGGCGCGUAGGCGGCUUGUUAAGUCAAAGGUGAAAUCCCUCGGCUCAACUGAGGAACUGCCUUUGAAACUAGCGAGCUUGAGGCCGGGAGGGGGUAGCGGAAUUCCCAGUGUAGCGGUGAAAUGCGUAGAUACUGGGAGGAACACCAGUGGCGAAGGCGGCUACCUGGACCGGUACUGACGCUGAGGCGCGAAAGCGUGGGUAGCAAACAGG